AAUCACACCACUUGUUUGUACAUGGUUUGAAGCUAAAUGUGACAAAAUGUUGCUGUUUUUAUUUUUUAGCAUGAGCUGCUUUAGAGACGGCACCCCAUAUAAUAUUAAUGAAUGCAAUGUAAUAAACUUAACGAGUAAUUAGUUUCGUUCUUAGCCUCGUAUGAGUAGUGAUUCAAGCCUAAAGGCUUCGCUUUUUGUUAAAUCAUUUUUGCCUGUAGUUGUGCCGAGUGCUUGUGUUUAUAGUUAGCCUGAGUUUUUCCCUCUGUGAGUUUUUGGUUUGAGAUAAUCCUCCUACCUCAAGAAGCAGUAGCGUGUAGCUCAGCCUUCUUUGUAGUCAUUAUUAGUUAGCCUUCCGUCCGCUAGCAACUGCUUGUGUUCAAUACUGUGUUUAGGCAAUAAAGCCUCUUAAAACCAACUUUCUGGCGUACUCGUUCAUUCCCUGCAUCUGAGCUCUAGUCCAGAAUCCUGACAGCACGAUCCAGCCAAGUAUGAGCUCAGCAGGGAAUGCACCGGUUGCCGAAGGAGCAGCUAAUUUGUCUAUUCAGGAAGCGUUGCAUAGCUUAGACGCUGCGUUAGUCCAACAUGACCAAACCUUGCGGUCACUAUCUACCAGCAAUUCAGCUAUGUUUAAACAGCUUUCAACGGUAACAGAAAAGAUUAACCAACUGACCAUCCAGCCCGGCCAAUCCGCUCCGGCUCCACUUGAUUUUCAACCCGAGGUUCCUUCACCGGAAUGUUAUAGUGGAGAUUUCGGUUUGUGUCAAGCGUUUUUGACCCAAGUUUCAUUAGUUUUUGAACUUAAGCCUUGUUCUUAUCCUACUGAUCGAUCUCGCAUAGCCCGAUCUUAUCGGGUUGUUAGCCGGAGAUGCUUGUGACUGGGGAACAGCCAUCUGGAAGAAACAGGGAGCACUUUGUAACUCUUAUGCCGCUUUCGUAAAAGAAAUAGCAAACAACUUUGACUUCCCGAUCAACGGCAAGGAUUCCAUCUCGAGACUGCUGGAAAUACAACAAUGUCCCCGCAGCAUUGCCGCUUACGCCCGUGAGUUCCGAACUCUCGCUGCAGACACUGACUGGACUGAGUCGGUGCUUAGAAGUGCUUUCUACCGUGGAUUAAAUGAACAAUUGAAGGAUCAGCUGGUGAUGAAAGAUCAACCCUCGUCUCUGGAUCAGUGGAUUUCGCUUGCCAUCUCCCUGGACAACCGCAUCAAGGAGAGGCGUCUAGAGAGGAAGGCACAGCCCUGGCGUGGAUCCCCUUCGACGGCUCCUGUAGCUUCCCCACCACCAUCGGAAUCCCCAGCUCCCGAACCAGAGCCGAUGCAGAUAGGCCCCACCAAACUCACUCGGCAAGAGAAGAACCACCGGAGGGCUGUGCGACUCUGCCUAUACUGUGGAGGCGUUAGUGACUUUGUGGCCACCUGACAGCAAAAGAGAAGCCUUGCCCGUGAACGGGGAAUUACGGGUGAGCCAAACUUCCACCUCCCCUCCUCAUCGGUUUCUGCUGAACACUACGCUUUGUUGAGGCACCGUCUCCUUACCUGUUUCCACGCUGGUGGACUCCGGGGCUGAGUAACGUCUCCUGGACGCCAACCUGGUAAGACAGCUGGGCAUUCCUUGCCUGGGGACCAGACAGCCUUUAUAUUGUGUAUUACAUAUACACAUAAAGUCAGUCUGAAACUGCUCCAUUGAACCAAAUCUAGCCCAGAGGCGGGACUACCGAUCACAGCUUGAAUUGGAGAGAGCCAAUCAGCGUAACGCAUGUGUGAUGCAAUCACUAAGCGACCUAACAACUGCCUUUCCACCAUUAUAUUUUGUAGUUUUAACAGCUUCCUUCGCCGUACAGGGGUCCUGAGGAAAAUCUAAGCUCUCCCUUUCAACAGUGGAGGGCAGCAUUACGCAUUCUAUCGUACAGCCUGCCGGAAUUAAAAGAAGAAGAAGAAGUAGUCCAAACAGUUAUGGCGACCAGUUUUAAGGACAAAUUCAGCCCGUGCAAAACAGAGGAAAGCGCACGAGAGAAACCUCGCUCUGUUGUGGUCGCCAUUUCAUUUGUAUGCGGGAGGUGCACAGGUGUUAGAUGGGUAAUCUCAGCCCUGAAGAUGACGCAUUGUUAACUCCCGCCUCUGGUGCUCUGAUUGGUUCGGUCUGAUCUGCUCGGAGCUUGACAACAUGUCAAAAUGUGUCAAUGGAGGAGGGCAAGACCGUAUUCCCGUAUAUCCCUUAUAACGGGAAUACAAAGUCUAGCUAAGCUAGGCUAGGGCAUUCCUACUACCUCACUAGAUCAAACCUUGACAGCUCGUUCCCUUGAUGGCCUUCGUUUAGCUCAACUCUCAAAAGAAACGGUUCCCAUAGAUUUGGUCACGGCCGGUAAUCAUAGAGAAAAGCUUACCUUUUGUGUUAUGGACAAUGCUAAUCCCCCUUUGGUUCUUGGUCAUUCUUGGUUAGUUAAACACAAUCCACAGAUUAAUUGGCAGGUUCGUGAAAUCUCUUCAUGGAGUUCCUCUUGUCAUCAGAGUUGUUUGUGUUCUGCACUCACCCCGUCCAGUCCCGCUGUAGCCGGCCCUAUUUAACCCAUCAAUCCAGAUAAGGUUCCGGUUCAAUAUCAUGAUUUAGCUGCGGUUUUCAGUAAAACCAGAGUCAUGUCUCUGCCGCCUCAUCGCCCUUAUGACUGCGCCAUUGAACUUUUGCAAGGUGCCACUUUACCAUCUGGCAGACUGUAUAGCAUUUCCAAGCCUGAACAGACGGCGAUGGAAACGUAUAUUAGAGAGUCACUGGCGGCAGGAAUUAUUAGGCCUUCAUCUUCCCCCCUUGGAGCAGGGUUUUUCUUUGUAGAAAAGAAAGAUGGUUCCCCGAGACCUUGCAUUGAUUAUCGUGGUCUUAAUAGCAUUACUGUUAGAAACUCCUAUGCUUUACUCCUGAUGGAUUCGGCCUUCACUCCCCUUUGGGGGGGUACAGUAUUUACGAAAUUAGAUCUUCGUAACGCGUACCAUCUUGUCUGAAUUCGUAGGGGGGACGAGUGGAAAACGGCCUUUAAUACACCAUUGGGUCAUUUUGAGUAUUUAGUUAUGCCUUUAGGCCUCACGAAUGCCCCAGCUGUCUUCCAGCAUUUAAUUAAUGAGGUCCUCCGUGACAUGCUCAAUCGUUUUGUGUUUGUGUAUCUGGAUGAAAUUUUGAUUUUCUCACAGACCCUUGAGGAACAUGUUGGCCAUGUUCGACAGGUGCUGGAGCGGCUUCUGAAAAACUUCUGUUUGUCAAAGCGGAAAAAUGUGAGUUUCAUGCCUCGACUGUUUCCUUUCUGGGGUUUGUUAUCUCUCCAGGCCAAAUCAGGAUGGACCCUGGGAAGCUCUCUGCAGUACAAGACUGGCCUGUUCCCAAGACCAGGGAGCAGCUCCAGCGUUUCCUUGGUUUUGCAAAUUUCUACAGACGUUUUAUCAAGGACUAUAGUAAAGUGGCUUCUCCUCUCACUGCUCUAACCUCUACCUCCAGGUCGUUUUCAUGGAUGCCCGAGGCAGCUUGGGCAUUUGACGAACUCAAGCGGCGGUUUACCUGUGCUCCGAUCCUUACUCAGCUGGAUCCGUCCCUUCAGUUCAUUGUGGAGCUCGAUGCUUCAGACACUGGUGUUGGGGCAGUGCUUUCUCAGCGGUCCCCUCGGGACCAGAAACUCCAUCCGUGCGCCUUCUUUUCUCAGCAUCUUUCCGCCGCUGAACGGAAUUAUGGCAUUGGUGACAGGGAGCUUCUGGCAGUUAAAUUAGCCCUGGAAGAAUGGCAUCAUUGGCUGGAGGGGGCUGAACUUCCAUUUGUGGUCCGUCCAGACCACAAGAAUUUGGAAUAUAUUAAAGGUCCCAUAUUAUGCUAUUUUUCAGUCACGUCAUAUAGGUCUCAGAAGCCCAAAAACAUAGUAUUUAAGUUUGUUCGCCCCAAAAUCAUCCUUUGUUUGGAGUUUCAGCGGUCGAAAAAGUCACUCUCACCAGCCCUCCUCAGAACAGGCUGUUUAUGGGCCUGCUUCCGGGUAUGUAAAUGAACGCAUCUGUCCACGCCCACUCCACCUCCCCUCUCUGGGAGAGGACGCGGCUUACGCUAGCGGUACUACGCGCUAAUGUUGACUGUGAAGCCAUGGCUCGUCGGGACGCAGUAGUUCAGCCCUACCAGUUCGACCCAGAGUCUGACCCAGAAGGAGAGGCUCCUGAUGAAGUCCCAACUCUGCGGCUGCAGCAGGACGUUUCGGAAUGGUUAGUCAACAAUAUCCUGUGUCUUAGAUGUAUUUGUAGUUUGUUCCUGUGUGUUAUUGUUACAGCUACUACGUUGUUGCUAACGCUAGCUUGACGCUAAUGGUAACUUACUGUUUUACUUACCAUCAUAUUAUACUGAAUUAUCUUGUUUCAAAGUAGCAUAAAAUUGUCUUAUCGUGACGUCUUUUUACGUUUUCAAGGCUGUGGGCUGUGGCACUGUGCAUAUCCUUCAUGAGCCACACUGUAUUUCCAAUAUAAAUAAGUAUCCAAAGUGAAUUAUGAUGAAUCAUGCUAGAGAAUAUAGACUUUGGGAAAUGUUCACUUUCUGUUCUUUGGAUAGGUGCUCCUGUGGAAACUGUGGUACUAUGCCCACAGAAGCUGAAAACAUCUGUUGCUUCGAGAUACCACAGAUUACCAGACGCCUACAGGAGGUCGAUGAAGAACUGACCUGUAUGGUUGACCAUUGUGGGUUAGAGUCAGUGUGCCUAAAUAUUUAUUCUCUGCAAAACGCCUGCCAAAUAUACUGGGCUGACUAUGGCCCUUUACAGCUGAGAGGAAUACACCAGUACUACAGUGGGGACAUGCCUCCAAGGUCGCUUGCCAUCCUGGGAGUCGACGUACGCUGGAACUGAUUAGACAACGGUUCUGGUGUCCGUCUCUGGUUACAGAUGUGAAGGAGUUUGUGGCAGCCUGCACUACCUGUGCGCGUAAUAAGGCUUCUAACCAGGUCAGUCCGGGACUUCUCCGUCCGCAGUCUAAUGGUCAGACAGAGCGUACUAACCAGUCAUUAGAGACGUUUUUGUGUUGUUUGGUUUCAGAGAACCCAUCCUCUUGGUGUGAGAGAUUGCCUUGGAUUGAAUAUACCCACUCUUUCACCAAUGCCUCUUCUGGGUUAUCUCCCUUUUAGUGCUCUCUGGGCUACCAGCCUCCUUUGUUUUCCUCCCAGUAAGCUGAGAUUAACAUUCCUUCUGUGGCUUCGUUACUCCGUUGUAUGCGGGGCACAUGGGGCCGUGCACGGCGAGCUCUGUGAUGUUCCGCCCAGCAGAUGGCGACCCAGGCUAAUCGUCACUGACGACCGGCUCCGACCUACUCCCCCGGCCAGAAGGUGUGGCUUCGGGCUAAGGACAUUCCUCUGAGGGUGGAGUCUUGUAAGCUGGCACCUCAUUUUAUUGGGCCUUUCAAGGUAGAUUGGGUUAUUAAUCCCUGUUCAGUAUGAUUGCAUCUGCCUGCCUCCAUGAAAGUGCACCCUACAUUUCAUGUGUCUCAACUUAAGCCUGUUUCUGAGUGUGCACUAGCCCUCCCUGAUCCACCCCUGCCGCGACCCAGGAUGAUUGAUGGGGCUCCGGUCUACACGGUUCGGCGACUGCUGGAUGCCUGCCGGCGGGGCAGGGACUUGCAGUUCCUUGUGGAGUGGGAGGGAUACAGUCCGGAGAAACGGAGUUGGGUGCCUCACAAUAGGAUUAUGGACAGGACACUGAUCUCUGACUUUUUCCAAAGUCACCCCAACCAUCCUGCGCGGGCACCUGGAGGGUUGGGGUAUAUUUUUGUCCUACAUGGCUGUAUGUGAAAGUUGAACAUGUUAAGUCACUAUCUGCUAAGUCAUUUCUUAAGACUAUUUUUCAGAAAAUGUGCCUUAAAAAUAGUUUAGACGAAAUAAAGUUAUAAGAGAUAAUAGAAACAA